AUUGAACGCUGGCGGAAUGCUUUACACAUGCAAGUCGAACGGCAGCACGGGGGCAACCCUGGUGGCGAGUGGCGAGCGGGUGAGUAAUACAUCGGAACGUGCCCAGUCGUGGGGGAUAACGCAGCGAAAGCUGUGCUAAUACCGCAUACGAUCUAUGGAUGAAAGCGGGGGACCGUAAGGCCUCGCGCGAUUGGAGCGGCCGAUGGCAGAUUAGGUAGUUGGUGGGGUAAAGGCUCACCAAGCCGACGAUCUGUAGCUGGUCUGAGAGGACGACCAGCCACACUGGGACUGAGGCACGGCCCAGACUCCUACGGGAGGCAGCAGUGGGGAAUUUUGGACAAUGGGCGCAAGCCUGAUCCAGCCAUUCCGCGUGCAGGAUGAAGGCCCUCGGGUUGUAAACUGCUUUUGUACGGAACGAAAAGCCUUCUUCUAAUACAGGAGGGUCAUGACGGUACCGUAAGAAUAAGCACCGGCUAACUACGUGCCAGCCGCCGCCGUAA
rnacentral:rRNA from 1 species